rnacentral:rRNA from 1 species
AACGAACGCUGGCGGCAGGCCUAACACAUGCAAGUCGAACGAACCGUUUACGGUGAGUGGCGCACGGGUGAGUAACACGUGGGAAUAUACAUUUCGGUAAGGAAUAACGUAGAGAAAUUUACGCUAAUACCUUAUAAUGACUACGGUCCAAAGAUUUAUCGCCGAAGGAUUAGCCCGCGUUAGAUUAGGUAGUUGGUAGGGUAAUGGCCUACCAAGCCUACGAUCUAUAGCUGGUCUUAGAGGAUGAUCAGCCACACUGGAACUGAGACACGGUCCAGACUCCUACGGGAGGCAGCAGUGAGGAAUAUUGAGAAAUGGGGGAAACCCUGACGGAGCCAUGCCGCGUGAGUGACGAAGGCCUUAGGGUUGUAAAGCUCUUUCAGAUGUAAAGAUAAUGACGGUAACAUCAGAAGAAGCUCCGGCUAAAUUCGUGCCAGCCGCCGCGGUAA